CUUAAAGUGUUCUACAAUUUUAUUAUCAAAAUAAAAUCAACAACAAAUCUAAAAACAACAUUUGGUGGAUUAGAUUGAAUGUUAUUGUUAACAAAUAAACAACAAGAUACAAUGAUUUAGGAAAUUUUAUUUUCACAGUUAUCUUUAAAACAAGUCACAUAAAACUUUAUUUAAAAAAAAAAAAAGAAGAUAAUGCCUCUUUUAUGAAGCUGAUGACUUUUGGAAAGAUCGAUUACUUUGUUCUAAAUACCUACUGAACGAUAGAGUCAUAAAAGGCACAUUGGUCACAUCUUUCUUCCCCUAUGAAGUGCAGCGCAUGUGUGUAUUUAGAUUACAAUCAAAUCAAAUAGAGCUAAAUUAUUAAAUUUUGUUGAUUUUAAAGAGCUAAAAAGGUUUAUGAAUAUACGUCAUACAUUACAAUGGUGCUUAGAAUGGUUUAUCUAACGAGUUAUUUUAAUAAGAAGUAACUACUGAACAAUUUACAACGUUGUAAUGGCACACAAACUCAUUUACAAUAUAGAUGCUUUAGCAUUAAGUCCCAAUGAGUCUUGAUCAAUUGGGCUCAGUCUUAGUUAUAUAAUACGAGCAUAUAAUUAUAAGCAUUAAGCAUCACACCAUACAAGUGAACCAUGCACUGUAUGCUGGAUUAAAGUAUAAAGCGAUCAUAUAUGUACAGAAAUAUAUAAUUUUUUCUAUUAAUAAUCAUAUUGGUGCUGUUAAAUAUAUGUGUGUAUAUUAGUUACAAAUAACAACAAGCGAGUUAAAAUUAAGUCACGAUUUUUAUAACGUUUAGGAAACUGAAGGACACAGAGUUUAAGGAAUUUCAAGGUUGCGUUGAAAAAUGUCAAGGUUGUUGUGUUAAGGAAAUGCAUAGGUUCUUGUGUUGAGGAAAUGUCAGAUUGCAGAGCUUAGGUCAUGUCAAGGUUACAGUUUUCAAGGAAAGCCAAUUUUGCAAUGGAAAUGUUAAUGUUGCGGUGUUGAAAGAACGGACAAAGUUUCAGUGUUACAUAAAUGUCAAGGUUGUAGUUUAUAGGAAAGUCAAGGUUGCAAUGUUGAAGGAAUGUCAAAGUUACAGACUCGAGGAAAUGACAAGGCUGUUGUGUUGAAAGAAUUUCAAGGUUGUUGUGUUGAAGUAAU